UACGUAGGGUGCGAGCGUUAAUCGGAAUUACUGGGCGUAAAGCGUGCGCAGGCGGUUUUGUAAGCCAGAUGUGAAAUCCCCGGGCUUAACCUGGGAAUGGCAUUUGGGACUGCAAGGCUGGAGUUUGGCAGAGGAGACUGGAAUUCCUGGUGUAGCAGUGAAAUGCGUAGAUAUCUGGAGGAAUACCGGUGGCGAAGGCGGCAUCCUGGACCAUUACUGACGCUGAGGCGCGAAAGCUAGGGGAGCAAACGGG
rnacentral:rRNA from 1 species